rnacentral:rRNA from 1 species
UACGAAGGGGGCUAGCGUUGUUCGGAAUUACUGGGCGUAAAGCGCACGUAGGCGGACAUUUAAGUCAGGGGUGAAAUCCCAGAGCUCAACUCUGGAACUGCCUUUGAUACUGGGUGUCUUGAGUAUGGAAGAGGUGAGUGGAAUUCCGAGUGUAGAGGUGAAAUUCGUAGAUAUUCGGAGGAACACCAGUGGCGAAGGCGGUUCACUGGUCCAUUACUGACGCUGAGGUGCGAAAGCGUGGGGAGCAAACAGG